AGUGAUAUAAGAUUUCUUGCCGCUAAUUGCUUAAUAGCUUUAUUAUUCAAAUGACCUAAACACUCAUGCCAUCGAUCUCCCGUUGUGCGUGUAACUGCCAAAGCCUCUGGACUUUUAUCGAUGAUUAACGGUAAUUGAUAUAGCCCAUCUGUCUCAUGUCCCUCUGCUAUUAUCUUCUCAGUUCCUGCCUCUCGUAUCUUGACCCUCUGCUCAUCAAAUUCAAAAUAUACUUUGUUAUCUGCACAUAUACGUUAAACAGAUAGUAAAAUUUUCGACGAUGAAGGUACUAACAACAUCUUAUCCAUUACUAAUUCAGAUUGAUUUAAUUUUACUUUAGAUUUUCCAGAUUUUAAUAUUGGCAUUGAUUCUCCAUUUGCCGUAUACACUGAUAUUUUACCUUGAUAGGGGUUGGAGGAUGAAAUCAACUUACCCGAACCUGUUAUGUGCGUGGUUGCUCCCGUAUUGGGAUACCACAUGGACAUCACACCUUUGGAUUCCACCAUAUUCGUGGACUAUUGUGAUGUCGGAAUUCCCACCGGCGUAAGUAUGCGACUAUGAGUUGGAGGAAACUGGGUGAAAUUAAUUCGAUUAUAGCAAUUGAUAGCACCGUGCCCUUUUCUUGAACAUAUUUGGCAUGGAUAAGACUUUGUCGAAUCAAAUCAUGAUUUGAUCACCGCAUAAGCUUCAAUUGCCGAGGUUACUGGUGCCAGAGCGAAUCUUAGUUCAUGGUCCAUGAGCAAUUAUUGAAAAUUUGGGAAUGUCAUCUCAUGAUCAAAUUUAAUGGGUGGUGAUAGAAGUGACAAAUGGUUGAAAUUCAGGCCCCAAACCGCCUAAGGCUAUUAGAAUUACUUACGAAUCUUUUAAUUUCUCACUGGCGGCAGCUAGCUUGUCCUUUAAUAUGCAGAUUUUCUUCAAAUACUCGGUUAUUGGAAGAUUGCCCUUCUUGACGUUUUGUAGCUAAUGACUCGUGUGGGGGAUGCGUGUUUCCAAGUCGGAUGAGUGAAUUUGUCACAAACAUUUCCAUACCUCAAUCAGCGGAUGUGGUCAGAGGUGCUACUUGAGGAAGGAGUGAAGCCGAGAUCGCUGUUAGGAUCCAGCUUAGAAUUACUUGGUCCUGCUGUUCGGCGGAUGAUCCCUCGGUGAUGUCGAUUUUCCCUUCUACAUAAUCCAUCAGCCUAUAUCCUUGAAGAAGUGCCGAGAAUUGAGCCUUCCACCUUAUGAUUUCACGGUGACCCAACUACGUCGACGAAAGGCCAAGGAGAUUUGAGUCGACGCCCGAUGGGAGGAAGUUUGGGGAAGAACAGGUUAACAGAAAAAACUGUUCUUUAAACGCAAUUUGAAAAUAGAGUGAAAAAUGUAAUUGAAUUAAUUGAAAUGUAAUUUUUACAGAUGUUAUUUAUAAAACUAAAAACAAUUUAUGACA
rnacentral:lncRNA from 1 species